AUGGAGGAAGAGGAUGGAGCAGGAUCUGCAGCAUCCAGCUGUGUGUCUGUGAGGAGUGACCGGUCCAAAGGAACACCUCUAUGGUUCAGUAAUGAACCUGCAGCAACAAUAGCUUCUGCACAGUGUGGAGAAAGAUCCAGAAGCAGAGCUGGACUGCAGACAGCCAGUCAGAGCAGCUGUGUACAAAGUAAGACUGAACAUCUGUCUGCUGAUGGACUCAUUUCUGAAAACUGGACUUCUUGUGUUGUUCAGACAUUGAAGAGUUUUCUUUCUCUUUCUUUCAGCAGAUGUUGGUCUGCAGGAGGUUUUAGAUGAACAUAAGAUCAGUCUGAGGAAGAGAUGUGAACAUGUGACUGAAGGAAGUGAUGAAACAGGAAGUAGAACCCUCCUCAACAGGAUCUACACUGAGCUCUACAUCACAGAGGGAUAGAGUGAAGAGGUUCUUACGCAACAUGAGGUGAGGCAGCUGGAGACAGCUUCCAAGAUGGACGCCCUCCAUGACGCUCCAAUCAGGUGCCAGGACAUCUUUAAAGCCUUCCCUGACCAACAGAGACCCAUCAGAGUGGUUCUGACCAACGGCGUGGCUGGUGUUGGAAAAACCUUCUCAGUGCAGAAGUUCACUCUGGACUGGUGUUAAGGUUCGUAAUUGGUGGAGAGUACAAAGGCAAGACAGUCCAGAAGGUUUGGGUCAAAGCGAUCUUUUAUUGAAGUACACGCGCGGGAAGACAGUCACUGCAUACAUCAGCAAGGGUCUUCGCCCAAAUUAUACUUCAGACUGCUUUUAUAGCAUCAGGGUAUUAUGACGCCCCUUCUUGCGUUUACAAGCACAUAUUUUGCAUGUACAGAACAUUCAUGUAUUUUAAGAAUAAACUGCAGCAUAGUGGUUCCUCAUUUUGGCAUCUUUUCCAAAGAAGGCAAUAAACUCGGGCCUCUGUGGUCCCCAGGGGCUGGUCCUUGCCACGCGUCACCUGUUGUCAAGAAAGCUCUAGUGCAGCAUGUUAACCAAAUACAUUCAGGCCUGUACUUAAGUCUGGUUCUAAGUUAUAUGUAAUAUAUGUAUAUAUAUGUGAUGUGUAAGCAUGUGUGCUAUCUUUCUUAAGCUCCCGGCUUCUUAACCAAUGGGUCACCCAGACAUUCACGCUGGAUGCAGCUUGCGACCUUUAUUACCUGGGAAGGCUUCAACUCCUUAUGAGCACAUAACUGCAAUGUGUAUAAAGAUAUAACAAUGUAUAAAUGAUUAUGACUGCACCUGUGAGAGAUUAAUAUGGUGUCAGUAUGUUUAAAUGUCUCAAGGCAAUCUUAAAGCUGUAUGCAGUAUGGUUAAUGCUAUGAAAUAUAUGUUGUGGCAAUGAAGCAAUUUUUUCUUAUCUCGAUACUGGGCAGAGGGCUUGGAGAACCAACAUGUUAGUGUGGUGGUUCUGCUUUCAUUCAGGGAGCUGAACCUGAUCAGAGAUGAGCAGUACAGUCUUCUGGAGCUGCUCCAUGUUUUCCAUCCAACAUUACAGAAGGUCACAGCAGAGAAGCUGGCUGUCUCUCAGCUUUUGUUCAUCUUUGACGGCCUGGAUGAAAGCAGACUUUCAUUGGAUUUCACCAACAGGAAGCUGCUGUCUGAUGUCACACAGAAGUCAUCAGUCAGCCAGCUGCUGACAAACCUCAUCCAGGGGAAUCUGCUUCCCUCGGCUCUCGUCUGGAUAACUUCCCGACCCGCAGCAGCCAAUCAGAUCCCUCCUACAUGUGUUGACAGGCUAACAGUAGUACGAGGCUUCACUGACGCCCAGAAGGAGGAGUACUUCGGGAGGAGAUUCAGUGAUGAAGAGCUGU
ensembl:lncRNA